GCAGUAGCCGCGGUAAUACGGAGGGAGCUAGCGUUAUUCGGAAUUACUGGGCGUAAAGCGCACGUAGGCGGCUUUGUAAGUUAGAGGUGAAAGCCUGGUGCUCAACACCAGAACUGCCUUUGAUACUGCAUCGCUUGAAUCCAGGAGAGGUGAGUGGAAUUCCGAGUGUAGAGGUGAAAUUCGUAGAUAUUCGGAAGAACACCAGUGGCGAAGGCGGCUCACUGGACUGGUAUUGACGCUGAGGUGCGAUAGCGUGGGGAGCAAACAGAAUUAGAUACCCCUGUAGUCCCUGUCUCUUAUAA
rnacentral:rRNA from 1 species